rnacentral:rRNA from 1 species
ACGCUGGCGGCAUGCCUAACACAUGCAAGUCGAACGGGUUGUACUUCGGUACAGCUAGUGGCGGACGGGUGAGUAACACAUAGGAAUCUGCCCGAGAGUGGGGGAUAACCCAGGGAAACUUGGAUUAAUACCGCAUGAUCUCUACGGAGCAAAGCUGGGGACCUUCGGGCCUGGCGCUUUUGGAGGAGCCUAUGUCUGAUUAGCUUGUUGGUGAGGUAACGGCUCACCAAGGCGACGAUCAGUAACUGGUCUGAGAGGACGACCAGUCACACCGGAACUGAGACACGGUCCGGACUCCUACGGGAGGCAGCAGUGGGGAAUAUUGGACAAUGGGCGAAAGCCUGAUCCAGCAAUGCCGCGUGUGUGAAGAAGGCCUUCGGGUUGUAAAGCACUUUAGGAUGGAAAGAAAAAACUUCAGUUAAUAGCUGAAGUCUUGACGGUACCAUCAGAAUAAGCACCGGCUAACUC